rnacentral:rRNA from 1 species
UACGAAGGGGGCUAGCGUUGUUCGGAAUUACUGGGCGUAAAGGGCUCGUAGGCGGCCAACUAAGUCAGACGUGAAAUCCCUCAGCUUAACUGGGGAACUGCGUCUGAUACUGGAUGGCUUGGAUCCGGGAGAGGGAUGCGGAAUUCCAGGUGUAGCGGUGAAAUGCGUAGAUAUCUGGAGGAACACCGGUGGCGAAGGCGGCAUCCUGGACCGGUAUUGACGCUGAGGAGCGAAAGCCAGGGGAGCAAACGGG